UACAGAGGGGGCAAGCGUUGUUCGGAAUUACUGGGCGUAAAGGGCGCGUAGGCGGCCUUCUAAGUCGAACGUGAAAUCCCCGGGCUCAACCCGGGAACUGCGUCUGAUACUGGACGGCUUGAGAAUGGGAGAGGAACGUAGAAUUCCAGGUGUAGCGGUGAAAUGCGUAGAUAUCUGGAGGAAUACCGGUGGCGAAGGCGGCGUUCUGGACCAUUACUGACACUGAAUCGCGAAAGCUAGGGGAGCAAACGGG
rnacentral:rRNA from 1 species